rnacentral:rRNA from 1 species
AUGGCGAUGUGGAUGUCGGCGGCCACCCGCGCGAUGCGCGUCCACGCGCGCCGCACCCCCGCCUCCUUCCUCCUCCGCGACUCCGCCCGCCCGGACCCCAACCGGGCGCUGCUGCAGGGCCAAGCGCCCGCGCCCCGCUGGUACUCGGGAGCCGCCGCGGGCGCCGAUCCGCCGUCGAUCCCAUUCCCAGCGCACCUUGGCGUGGCCACAGUGCCGGACCUACAUGUGUUCGUCGUCGAGCGAUUCGGCCACUACCACAAGAUCCUGCCCUCUGGGGUUCACUUCCUCUUGCCCGUCGUCGACCGCAUCGCGUACGUCCACUCGCUCAAGGUGAAGCCCAUCCGCAUCCCCAACUAUCCUGCGGUCACCAAAGAUAACGCCUUGAUCCAGUUUGGAGGAUUGCUUCAUCUACAGAUAUCAGAUCCGUUCCUUGCCUCCUACGCUGUGGACGGCAACCCCAUUCACGCUGUCACCCAGCUUGCAGAGACUGUUCAGAUGAGGGAAAUCGGCAAGAUGACCCUUGAGCAGAGCUUUGAGCAGCGAGACCAGCUCGACCGCAACAUUAUGAAGUCAAUGAAUGACGCAGCGUGCGAAUGGGGGGUGGAGUGUAUCAAAUAUGAGUUUUGCAUUCAAUGGGAGCGAAGUAAGUCACUGUAUGAGGUGCUGUCCACCAGCGACGACAUGGGCGGCGUCUUGUCAGAUGACAAGCAGGAACCAGUGCCGCAUACCAAGCAAGAGUAG